rnacentral:misc_RNA from 1 species
UUCCUCACAGCCCUGAUGCUCUCCCUAGAAACUGCUCCUUCAGGCCAAUUCAGUCUUGAUCCCCUUUUGAAAUAUUUUUCAGCCCCCCAGUUAGCCUUUUGAAUCAUGUGCUCUGGCAGAGGCCCCAAUACCCUCUCCAUCAUUGCCAAAUGUUCCAAGUUCUCAUGUGUCCGGAAUAGUGCUUCACCCAAGCAUAACUCUACAAGUAUACAACCAACACUCCAUAAGUCGCAUGGAUAAGUCCAACCUAGACCUAGAAUAACCUCAGGGGCUCG